CUUGAAUUCAAAUUAUGUUUUUCGCAAUCACGAGCGUGUGUGUUUGUGUAGGCGCAUGUGUGUGGGUGCGUAAGUGUAUGUAUGCAUGUGUGUGAGUGAGUGUUGUGUACGUGCGUGUGCGUGUAGGCGUUCGUGUGUGUGUCUGUGUAGGCGUUCGUGUGUGUGUAGGCGUUCGUGUGUGUGUAGGCGUUCGUGUGUGUGUAGGCGUUCGUGUGUGUGUGUGUAGGCGUUCGUGUGUGUGUGUAGGCGUUCGUGUGUGUGUGUGUGUAGGCGUUCGUGUGUGUGGGACAUGGACGCCACCGCCCAGCAAAAGUGGAUUUCGGGGGACAGUGCUCAGGACCAGCCGCGCCGCCGCCGGUGGACGGUGGUGCUGCAGGCCUGGUCCAAGCUGAAAAAGGAACCACAACGCCAAAGACAGUCAAAUGAAAGCAAUAAGCAAUCGUGAUUGCUCAAAAAAAAAAAAAAAAAAACAUAUU